rnacentral:rRNA from 1 species
GACGAACGCUGGCGGCGUGCUUAACACAUGCAAGUCGAGCGGUAAGGCCCUUUCGGGGGUACACGAGCGGCGAACGGGUGAGUAACACGUGGGUGACCUGCCCUCAGCUCUGGGAUAAGCCUGGGAAACCGGGUCUAAUACCGGAUAUGACUCCAUGACGCAUGUUGUGGGGUGGAAAGCCUUGUGCGGCUGAGGAUGGGCCCGCGGCCUAUCAGCUUGUUGGUGGGGUGAUGGCCUACCAAGGCGACGACGGGUAGCCGGCCUGAGAGGGCGACCGGCCACACUGGGACUGAGACACGGCCCAGACUCCUACGGGAGGCAGCAGUGGGGAAUCUUGCGCAAUGGGCGAAAGCCUGACGCAGCGACGCCGCGUGAGGGAUGACGG